UGGCACAUUUAAUGGCAGAAAAAGGUUAAGCCAAAAGAUGAUGGUGAUGAUGAAGGUUCAUCAUCUCUUUCUUAGUACUGACACACAAUCAUGAAGAGAAGAAGCUCAUCACCUUGUCUGUACAGUACCACAGAGACAACAACUGCAUGCUAGUGCUUUAGGUUCUUUUCAGAUUACUGUUUUCAUUAACACAACUUACAUGAUUCCUUUUCUGGUGGACCCUCCUUCAAGGGUCUAUGAUUCCAUGUGUGUUGCUGCCAUUUUCUGUUUUUGGAAGCACCCUCUUACAAUGCAAAAGCUUCCUCAUUGAGGAUGAGAUCUCUUCCCAAAGUGGUCCUUUUGGUGUGUUCUCUUGGUACUUCGCGUCAAGCUCAGUUCUCAGCUUUAUCAAGGCUUCUAUCUCCACUUUUGGCCACCUUGAU